UCUGAAGCAAAGAAAAAAUUUGAAUCAAAGCUAGAUGAGUAUGAAUCAAAGCUGUUUAUAAUGGAAAAAGAAUAUAAAGCCAAUUUGUCUGGAAUGAAGGAAGAGUAUGAAGCAAAAAUUUUGGCUACAACAGAAAAUUACGAGGAACAAUUAUCUAUCAGUCGUGAAGAAUGUGAGAUAAGAGUAGCAGAAGUAAUGGAGGAGCUUACCUUGAAAUCACGUCAAGCACUCGAAAAUGCCAUUGUAUCAAAAAAUGAAAUAUUAUCAUCCUUUCAGUCUCUACCAAUAGCCAGCAUUCCUUCAUAUAAAGCUCAAAAUGAAAUGAUUCAAGCGCAUUACCUUUCACAACGAGGAAACAUGAAGAAAGGAGACAGAUGGUAUCUUGUUGAUGUGGAAUGGUUCAGGCAGUGAAAGAAAUACACUGGAUUUGAUUCAUGGGAUCAAAAUAGUGCUGGACAAGCAAGUGCUCAUCCAGGACCAAUUGUUAAUGGCACUUUGUUUAAAGGCAAUGUAUCUGAAACAUUAAAGGAUCAUCUAAUUGAAGAGCAACACUAUGCACUACUACCUGAGCCUGCAUGGAAUCUUUUACUGAGUUGGUAUGGACUAUCAGUAGGAUCAAGACCUAUUAUUAGAACUGUAGUAGAGUAUGGUUCAUGUACCAAGCACUUGAAUGUUGAAGUUUACUUGAUUGAUUUACAAUUGUAUUUACAUCCUAACACUAAUAAUAUUAAAAGGCAUUCAUUUAGUCGAGCAGAUGCAGUCAGCUGUAUAAUGACAGUAAUAAAGGAACAGUUCAAUAUUCCUGAUACUACUGAAUGUAGACUGUGGCAGCAUUACAUGUCAGGAAAUUAUGAAUUAUUAACUGAUGUUGAACAAGCAAUAUCAGAUGCUGGUAUAUAUGGGUCACAAAAGAUAGCAUUGGAAAUAAGAAAUCCAGAUGGCACAUGGCCAAAAAGCAAAACUAAAUGAUUUGGAAUAUUGUGCUUUAUCUUUGCUCAAAUCAUAGUUAGAAUUUUAUUUUUUAAUAAGUACUGAACUAUAACUAACUAAAUUUAUUUUUGGUUAACAGAUUUAUGUUCAUAAGUUU